AAGUUUCUCCCGAGACAAGUCAGUAGCAGCUGCAAGUUCAUCCCGAGACAAGUCGGCAACUUCAAAUUCUUCUGAGCCAUCAUCAGUUGCUCCAACUAUAUCUGAGCAUCCAUCCGAACCUAAAUGUAAACAUGGACGUGAAUCUAAACAUUAUUGGACUGUUGAUGCCAUAGCAAUAGGAGAAGCAGCUGGACUCCUUGCAGGAGUUUGUGGGCAAUUAGCCACUGAUUGUGUAGCAUUUCCAAUCAGUUUUGAAAAGUGGUCAGACAUUCCAGCAAGCUUUUUUUAAAAUCAAUGGAAUAUUUUUUUUCCUAGCUCGAUUUUGCUUCAAAGUGAGUGAUAACUUGGCCAAACGAUUUUUGCUCCAAUCGCUUGGCAAAAAAUGGAGGGAACAUAGGAUAAAGCUUUGGAAUGAUUUUUAUGAUCCGAGGUUGAGUAAAACCGAGAUCAUAAAUAAUGCACCAGAAGAUAUUGCUCCUGAUC